CAGCAGUCAAAAUUCAAUGUUUUUGCAAUCAGCUUGAUAGUCCUAAAGCAGGAGAGGCUGGGAGAAGUGUCCUAAAACCUCCUGCUUGCUAGAAAGAGGUGGACAGACACAGGGGCCUCGUGGCACUGGGAGCUGGCUACAAGUUCUGGGUCUUGACUGAUCUACUGCUCACAAGUGUUAGGAUUUAAUCCAAACCUCAGCAUAAUGGUGAAACCAUCUCAGUGCACGUGGAGGCAGAGCAGUGUACAAGGCAGUAAACCGAAUCUGUUUGAAGUCAGAAGUGUUUCCACCAGAUUCAUGAGUCAGACCCAGGAAGGUUACGUCCAACAGUGAUUCCUCAAGGAGAUUCAGCAGCAUUUAUCCAACAUGACGAGCACGUUCCUACCUUUAGACAGAGAGGUGUUUCAGGGAGGACCUCCCCGGUAUCAGCAAGGCACUAUCAAUCUCUGCUCAUAAUGAAGCAUCAAGAGACAAAAGAUAGAAUGUGGAGCACUUCAGGAGACGGAUACCAUGACAUCCGCACCCUCGCAAGCAUUCAGACACAGCCGUCUGCAAGUUAAAAAGGGGUUGUUCAUCUUGAAAAGGCUUUUAUCCAGUAAUACAUUUUCCAAUCAAGUUUCUCUCCCCAUUGUCACGUUGUAUUG
ensembl:lncRNA